rnacentral:rRNA from 1 species
AUGCACGCUGGCGGCGUGCCUAAUACAUGCAAGUCGAGCGAACAGACGAGGAGCUUGCUCCUCUGACGUUAGCGGCGGACGGGUGAGUAACACGUGGAUAACCUACCUAUAAGACUGGGAUAACUUCGGGAAACCGGAGCUAAUACCGGAUAAUAUAUUGAACCGCAUGGUUCAAUAGUGAAAGACGGUUUUGCUGUCACUUAUAGAUGGAUCCGCGCCGCAUUAGCUAGUUGGUAAGGUAACGGCUUACCAAGGCAACGAUGCGUAGCCGACCUGAGAGGGUGAUCGGCCACACUGGAACUGAGACACGGUCCAGACUCCUACGGGAGGCAGCAGUAGGGAAUCUUCCGCAAUGGGCGAAAGCUUGACGGAGUAACGCCGCGUGAGUGAUGAAGGUCUUCGGAUCGUAAAACUCUGUUAUUAGGGAAGAACAAAUGUGUAAGUAACUAUGCACGUCUUGACGGUACCUAAUCAGAAAGCCACGGCUAACUACGUG